UGCAGAAUCCCGUGAACCAUCGAGUCUUUGAACGCAAGUUGCGCCCCAAGCCUUUAGGCCGAGGGCACGUCUGCCUGGGUGUCACGCAUCGUCGCCCCCGUCAAACCCCGAGCCCUCGGGCCGGGAUCGACGCGCGGGCGGAAAUUGGCCUCCCGUGCGCUCACCGCUCGCGGUUGGUCUAAAUUCGAGUCCUCGGCGAUGAUGCGCCGCGACGAUCGGUGGGAACGCCUUUGGCUGCCUCGUUCGGAGUCGCGCGCGCUCGUCGAUCGGGACGCUUUCGACCCUUUAAGGCAUCGCGACGUCGAUGCUCGCAUCGCGACCCCAGGUCAGGCGGGAUCACCCGCUGAGUUUAAGCAUAUCAAUAAGCGGAGGAAAAGAAACUUACCAGGAUUCCCUUAGUAACGGCGAGCGAACCGGGAAAAGCCCAGCUUGAAAAUCGGUCGCCCUCGGCGUCCGA
rnacentral:rRNA from 1 species